GGUUAUUAUUAUAUUUACAUGCUUUCAUCUCCCGUUUCUGCUCGGUGACAACUCUUUUUGACUCUCUUUUUUUCUCCCUCCCUCACGCUGACAGACACAUAUCAGGUAUGACAGUCCAUUCUCCCUUCAGCAUGAAACAUGAAACUUGACACUGCCCAUGAGGCUACAUUCUUUAGGGCUAUGCCUGUAACACUCUCCCUAUUGGAUUUAUAUUAAAUAAUUUUUUGAAUAAUAAUUUUUAAAGGUAUUUCUUCACGUCAUUAUGCAGGCCGCAAGUAGGGGUGACAUUGUCACGGCUGCGGGGGCAGACGUGUGGUGAGUGAGAGACAGGAUCCAGACACAGGCACUGGCUUGGAUGUGAGCGAGCUUUUAUUAACACAACGGUGGCACAAACAGAAACAUGGCAAGCAAAACAAAACCUAAAGGUGACCUACACUGGGAGUGACUAACAGAACGAACCUGAACGGAUGACUCUAGGAGGAACACGCAUGGAAGUAACACAGAAGGGAACGAGGAAACUAUACACAGGCGGGAGGCACAGCUGAUUGUGAUUAACAAGACGAGGAGGGGGAAACGCAAACUGAACAUACUGGCAUAAGACAGAUCUUCACAAUAAAACAGGAAACUCAAAACACACGCGAAGACACCGACUCAGAGACGCGGGCUUUACACAGAGGGGAUACACAGGUAGGGAUCACACAGAACAGGGGGAGCACGGACUUAACACUAGGAGAACAAAUAACAAAACCUAAACCAGAAAUAAUAAUAAUAAUCAUCAUCAUCAUCAUCAUCGGACGGCUAAAGAAUCAGGAUAUAAUUAUAAUCAAAACAGUAUCACCAAAGAAUAAGAACUAAUCCAUAAUGCAAAGAUAAACCAAAACCUAAGGAACUCAAAAUGCUGGGUCGAACCGACCCAGGACCGUGACAGACAUGGGCCCAGGAUUGAGAUCCAGGCAUUAGAUUGGUAUUAGUUAGGCAUUAUUUU